rnacentral:rRNA from 1 species
AACGAACGCUGGCGGCAUGCCUAACACAUGCAAGUCGAACGAGACCUUCGGGUCUAGUGGCGCACGGGUGCGUAGCGCGUGGGAACCUGCCCUUAGGUUCGGAAUAACUCCCCGAAAGGGGUGCUAAUACCGGAUAAUGUCUUCGGACCAAAGAUUUAUCGCCUUUGGAUGGGCCCGCGUUGGAUUAGCUAGUUGGUAGGGUAAAAGCCUACCAAGGCGACGAUCCAUAGCUGGUCUGAGAGGAUGAUCAGCCACACUGGGACUGAGACACGGCCCAGACUCCUACGGGAGGCAGCAGUGGGGAAUAUUGGACAAUGGGCGAAAGCCUGAUCCAGCAAUGCCGCGUGAGUGAUGAAGGCCUUAGGGUUGUAAAGCUCUUUUACCCGGGAUGACAAUGACAGUACCGGGAGAAUAAGCUCCGGCUAACUCCGUG